UAGGACGAGAACAACCCCGGGAAACUGGGGCUAACUCUUGAUAGGUGAAGAACUCUGGAAUGAGUCUUUGCCUAAAAAGAUUCACGUUAUCCUCGUGAACCUGCCUAAGGAUGAGGCCGCGACCGAUCAGGUUGUUGGCGAGGUAAUGGCUCACCAAGCCUUUUACCGGUGCGGGCCGUGGGAGCGGGAGCCCGGAGAUGGGUACUGAGACAAGGACCCAGGCCCUACGGGGCACAGCAGUCGCGAAACCUUUGCAAUACACGAAAGUGUGACAGGGCUAUCCCGAGUGCCAUCCGCUGAGGAAGGCUUUUACCCAGUCUAGAACGCUGGGGGAAUAAGGAGAGGGCAAGUCUGGUGUCAGCCGCCGCGGUAAUACCAGCUCUCCGAGUGGUGUGGAUGUUUAUUGGGCCUAAAGCAUCCGUAGCUGGCUAGGUAAGUCCCUUGUUAAAUCCACCGAAUUAAUCGUUGGAUCGCGGGGGAUACUGCUUGGCUAGGGGACGARAGAGGCAGACGGUAUUUUCGGGGUAGGGGUGAAAUCCUAUAAUCCCGGGAAGACCACCAGUGGCGAAGGCUGUCUGCUAGGACGCGCCCGACGGUGAGGGAUGAAAGCUGGGGGAGCGGACCGGAUUAGAUACCCGGGUAGUCCCAGCUGUAAACGAUGCAGACUAGGUGUUUGGACGGCCACGUGCCGUUCUAGUGCCGCAGGGAAGCUGUUAAGUCUGCCGCCUGGGGAGUACGAUCGCAAGAUUGAAACUUAAAGGAAUUGGCGGGGGAGCACACGGCUCAGUAACACGUAUAUAAGGAAUUGGCGGGGGAGCACACACGGCUCAGUAACACGUAUAGGAAUUGGCGGGGGAGCACAUACGGCUCAGUAACACGUAUAGGAAUUGGCGGGGGAGCAC
rnacentral:rRNA from 1 species